GAUGAAGACGCUGCGUUUCCUUGUCCGUGCUUGGUUUUCCUGAAAAAGACCUGGGGACUGAGCACUGACCCUUGAGGUACUGACGCAGACGUUCACCCACCAUCCUCCCCACCACCACCAGGUUGGCCCUGUCCAGGGGGGAAGGCUCCGCCCCUGUCUUCAUACUCGGCAGUCAUAGCCAGAUUUAAAAGCUUUUAAAUCAAGCUACGGAUGGGACCUCCGCCAAAGAAAUCCUACGUUUUGUUAAAGGAUACUCUUGUCAAAUAAAAACUUAUCAAUAAAUGUAAUUCAAUAUCAUAA